AUAAAUGUGCAGGUAGGCUACAGGUAGACUGACUACUGUUUCUAAAUGUUGAAGACUGCAUCAUACUUCAACAUCUGUCAUUCUCUGCACUGUUCAGAUCAUAUGUGAUGCUGCAUACAUCAUUUCUAAUGUGGAGGCCACGUGGUCUGGGUCUGUUCAUGACUCCAGGAUUUAUGGAGAGUCUAACCUGAGCAACAGACUGCAGCAUGGAGAGUUUGAUGGCCUUCUGCUGGGUGACAGGGGUUACCAUUCCAACCCAGGCUGAUGACCUCAUACCCUGACCCUGAACUAGGCCCCCAACAGAACUUCAACCGGGCUCACUGCAGGACCAGGGCCUGGGUGAAGAUGACCAUAGGCCUGCUGAAAGCCCGUUUCCAGCACUUACGUCUCCUCAGAGUGACCCCUGAGAGGGCCUGUGAUAUUACUGUGGCAUGUGUUGUUCUUCAUAAUAUUACCACUAUUAGAGGAGAGCAACACCCUGCCCUACAAACUGAAGACCCAGAUGAUGAGCCCAUCCACCUGCAGCUAUCCAGGACAGCAGAGCAGUCAGAGACACCGUAUGCAAUAAUCACUUUAGAGUUUAAGUCACCAUCAUCACCACCACAGCAAAUAAAGACAUGAUACACAUUU